AAUGAACGCUGGCGGCAUGCCUUACACAUGCAAGUCGAACGGCAGCAUGACCUAGCUUGCUAGGUUGAUGGCGAGUGGCGAACGGGUGAGUAAUGCAUCGGAACGUGCCUUUUAGUGGGGGAUAACGUAGCGAAAGUUACGCUAAUACCGCAUAUUCUCUGAGGAGGAAAGCAGGGGACCUUCGGGCCUUGCGCUAGAAGAGCGGCCGAUGUCGGAUUAGCUAGUUGGUGAGGUAAAGGCUCACCAAGGCAACGAACCGUAGCGGGUCUGAGAGGAUGAUCCGCCACACUGGGACUGAGACAAGGCCCAGACUCCUACGGGAGGCAGCAGUGGGGAAUUUUGGACAAUGGGCGCAAGCCUGAUCCAGCCAUGCCGCGUGAGUGAAGAAGGCCUUCGGGUUGUAAAGCUCUUUCGGCUGGGAAGAAAUCGCACCCUCUAAUACAGGGUGUGGAUGACGGUACCAGCAGAAGAAGCACCGGCUAACUACGUG
rnacentral:rRNA from 1 species